rnacentral:rRNA from 1 species
GAUGAACGCUAGCGGGAGGCUUAACACAUGCAAGUCGUGGGGCAGCACGGGGUAGCAAUAUCCUGGUGGCGACAUGCGCACGGGUGAGUAACGCGCAUGCAACCCACCCAGGACAGGGGGAUAGCCCGGAGAAAUCCGCAUUCAUACCCCAUAAUGAUAUUAAUGGGCAUCUUUCAAUACUUAAAGCUACGGCGGAACGGGAUGGGCAUGCGUAAGAUUAGCUAGUUGGUAGGGUAACGGCCUACCAAGGCUCCGAUCUGUAGGGGUCCUGAGAGGGUGAUCCCCCACACUGGUACUGAGACACGGACCAGACUCCUACGGGAGGCAGCAGUGAGGAAUAUUGGUCAAUGGGCGCAAGCCUGACCCAGCCAUCCCGCGUGAAGGAAGAAGGCGGUUUGCGUUGUAAACUUCUUUUCCGGAGGAAUAAAAUUUUGUACGAGUACAGGACUGAAGGUACUCCGGGAAUAAGCAUCGGCUAACUCCGUGCCAGCAGCCGCCGUAAUAC